rnacentral:rRNA from 1 species
CCUACGGGAGGCAGCAGUGGGGAAUAUUGCACAAUGGGGGAAACCCUGAUGCAGCGAUGCCGCGUGUGUGAGGAAGUAUUUCGGUAUGUAAAGCUCUAUCAGCAGGGAAGAAAAUGAUGGUAACUGACUAAGAAGCCCCGGCUAACUACGUGCCAGCAGCCGCGGUAAUACGUAGGGGGCAAGCGUUAUCCGGAUUUACUGGGUGGAAAGGGAGCGUAGACGGCUAAGCAAGUCAGAAGUGAAAACCCAGGGCUCAACCUUGGGACUGCUUUUGAAACUGAGUAGCUAGAGUGCAGUAGAGGUGAGCAGAAUUCCUGGUGUAGCGGUGAAAUGCGUAGAGAUUAGGAGGAACACCAGUGGCGAAGGCGGCUUACUGGACUGUAACUGACGUUGAGGCUCGAAAGCGUGGGGAGCAAACAGGAUUAGAUACCCGAGUAGUC